CCUUACUAACUAGAUUAGAGUCUGAAAAACUCAAAAAAUUUUAUGCAGUCAUCAACUUCAUCUCUUAUUUGUCCCAUUGGAAUAGAGUUAAAUAACAACAUUAAAUUC